UACAGAGGUCCCGAGCAUUGUUCGGAUUCACUGGGCGUAAAGGGUGCGUAGGUGGUUAGGUAAGUCCGAUGUGAAAUCUCCAGGCUCAACCUGGAAAUGGCAUUGGAUACUAUUUAGCUUGAGGAGUGGAGGGGGGACUGGAAUUCUCGGUGUAGCAGUGAAAUGCGUAGAUAUCGAGAGGAACACCAGUGGCGAAGGCGAGUCCCUGGACACUUCCUGACACUGAGGCACGAAAGCUAGGGGAGCAAACAGG
rnacentral:rRNA from 1 species